GGCGUCCGAGUUGUAAUUUGUAGAGGAUGCUAUUGAGUUGUCACCGGUCUAAGUUCCUUGGAACAGGACGUCACAGAGGGUGAGAAUCCCGUAUGUGACCGGCCAGACGCUCUCUGUAUAGCUCCUUCGACGAGUCGGGUUGUUUGGGAAUGCAGCCCUAAAUGGGAGGUAAAUUUCUUCUAAAGCUAAAUACCGGCCAGAGACCGAUAGCGCACAAGUAGAGUGAUCGAAAGAUGAAAAGCACUUUGGAAAGAGAGUUAAAAAGCACGUGAAAUUGUUGAAAGGGAAGCGCUUGCAAUCAGUCUCGACGGCGGCUGUUCGGCCUCUCUUCUGAGUGGUUUAUUCAGUCGCCGCCGGGCCAGCAUCAGUUCUGGCGGUCGGAUAAAGGCGCAGGGAAUGUAGCUCCUCUCGGGGAGUGUUAUAGCCCUGUGUGCAAUACGGCCCGCCGGGACUGAGGUCCGCGCUCCGGCUAGGAUGCUGGCGAAAUGGUUGUAAGCGGCCCGUCUUGAAACACGGACCAAGGAGUCUAACAUCUAUGCGAGUGUUUGGGUGUCAAACCCGUACGCGUAAUGAAAGUGAACGGAGGUGGGAACCGCAAGGUGCACCAUCGACCGAUCCUGAUGUCUUCGGAUGGAUUUGAGUAAGAGCAUAGCUGUUGGGACCCGAAAGAUGGUGAACUAUGCCUGAAUAGGGUGAAGCCAGAGGAAACUCUGGUGGAGGCUCGCAGCGGUUCUGACG
rnacentral:rRNA from 1 species